rnacentral:rRNA from 1 species
UGGGGAAUUUUGGACAAUGGGGGAAACCCUGAUCCAGCCAUCCCGCGUGUGCGAUGAAGGCCUUCGGGUUGUAAAGCACUUUUGGCAGGAAAGAAACGUCGCGGGUUAAUACCCCGCGAAACUGACGGUACCUGCAGAAUAAGCACCGGCUAACCACGUGCCAGCAGCCGCGGUAAUACGUAGGGUGCAAGCGUUAAUCGGAAUUACUGGGCGUAAAGCGUGCGCAGGCGGUUCGGAAAGAAAGAUGUGAAAUCCCAGAGCUUAACUUUGGAACUGCAUUUUUAACUACCGGGCUAGAGUGUGUCAGAGGGAGGUGGAAUUCCGCGUGUAGCAGUGAAAUGCGUAGAUAUGCGGAGGAACACCGAUGGCGAAGGCAGCCUCCUGGGAUAACACUGACGCUCAUGCACGAAAGCGUGGGGAGCAAACAGGAUUAGAUACCCUGGUAGUCCACGCCCUAAACGAUGUCAACUAGCUGUUGGGGCCUUCGGGCCUUGGUAGCGCAGCUAACGCGUGAAGUUGACCGCCUGGGGAGUACGGUCGCAAGAUU